rnacentral:lncRNA from 1 species
CCCGUUGGCCAGCUAUAGUGACCAGUACUUCAACACAUGUGGAUUUAUCAAUUUACUCUAACCUAGAAGUUCAAAUUUAUUAAUCUGUACACGUCAUGUUCUAUGGACGUUUGUGAUAUUUUGCUUUCUUUUCUUUUUUUUUAACUUGUGUGCAUCUUAACAUGCCGAUGAGUAUCAAAUCCUCGUCUCCGGUCUGCAAGUAGGGGAAAUAUCCAGUGAAAACUCUCAUCCGGUGAAAACCUGAAAACUCUCGCUGUGAACCGUUGGAUCGGGAAUGUAUGGCUCAGAUCAAAGGUGGGAUUGAAAUCAGCCACUUAAACGUACCCUUGCGCAAAACCCCCUCCUUUUAUGUAGAAACUCGGUAAUGAUUAGGCAGCUGGAAAAUGAUUCGUCUUCUCCAAUCCGUUCCAAUCGACCAUGGAGCUGCGUCUGCCUCCAGUCGCCGGUGCUGGCCCUCCGCCGCCUACCUCUCCGACAACCCCCACAACAUUGCGCCCUCCUACGGCGCGUGUCCAACGCUCAUGUUUUCCUGCCCUCCGCCGUCUAUGUUUAGGCAUACCCGGACCUCCUACAGCCAUGUUCGGGAGUGAUCGCCCUUCAGAACAUGCUUCACUACCGCUCUUCCUAAGAAACACCAUCGACGGAUCUCUGCGGCUCUGCCCCCUUCCGUGCACCUGCCUCCUAGCAGCAGCCAGCAGUACACAGCUAAGCAUUGGGAUUCAUUGAUUCAAAUUGACAACUGCAAUGGUUUGUAAGAUCUGGCCUCAGGUUAAGGGGAAUUCUACUCUAGAACACACCAAUUUGUUGGCGAUAGCCGUUCCUCCCAUCCACCCUCACAGCUAUCCAGUUCAUUGUUCUUCCGUUCCAAGCCAAAAUUACAAGCCGGUCGGUCCAACAGAAUGUAAAGAGCUAUUACAUGGUCUCACUGGACCCAAUCUUGGCUAGCAAGCCAGGCCGGUAAGCGUUUCCAUCUCUUGGGCCGCGGUGCCGGCCCAGUUGUUUCCACCUCCUGUUCCUUGGCGUCGCCUGGUGGAGAAGGGUUGCUGACAUCCCCCCCUCCUUGAGACCCAGCUUGACCCCAAGCUGGAGCGAAUGGAAAGCGUUGAUGGAGAUUGAGCAAAUCUUCCCAAGUGCUGC